AGCAGCCGCGGUAAUUCCAGCUCCAAUAGCGUAUAUUAAAGUUGUUGCAGUUAAAAAGCUCGUAGUUGAAUUUUGGGUCUGGCCGGGCGGUCCGCCCUCCGGGUGAGCACUGUUCCGACGCCGGGCCUAUCCUUCUGGUGAGUCGGCAUGUCCUUUGUUGGGUGUGUCGGGGAACCAGGACCAUUACCUUGAAAAAUUAGAGUGUUCAAAGCAGGCGCAUGCUCGGAUACAUUAGCAUGGAAUAAUGAAAUAGGACGCGUGGGGCUAUUUUGUUGGUUUCUAGAACCGCCGUAAUGAUUAAUAGGGAUAGUUGGGGGCAUUAGUAUUCAAUUGUCAGAGGUGAAAUUCUUGGAUUUAUUGAAGACUAACUUCUGCGAAAGCAUUUGCCAAGGAUUGUUUUCAUUAAUCAAGAACGAAAGUUAGGGGAUCGAAGACGAUCAGAUACCGUCGUAGUCUUAACCAUAAACUAUGCCGACUAGGAAUCGGGCAUGUUAUUCUCAUGACUCGCCCGGCGCCUUAG
rnacentral:misc_RNA from 1 species